GACGAACGCUGGCGGCGUGCUUAACACAUGCAGGUCGAACGGAAAGGCCCUGCUUUUGUGGGGUGCUCGAGUGGCGAACGGGUGAGUAACACGUGAGUAACCUGCCCUUGACUUUGGGAUAACUUCAGGAAACUGGGGCUAAUACCGGAUAGGAGCUCCUGCUGCAUGGUGGGGGUUGGAAAGUUUCGGCGGUUGGGGAUGGACUCGCGGCUUAUCAGCUUGUUGGUGGGGUAGUGGCUUACCAAGGCUUUGACGGGUAGCCGGCCUGAGAGGGUGACCGGCCACAUUGGGACUGAGAUACGGCCCAGACUCCUACGGGAGGCAGCAGUGGGGAAUAUUGCACAAUGGGCGGAAGCCUGAUGCAGCAACGCCGCGUGCGGGAUGACGGCCUUCGGGUUGUAAACCGCUUUCGCCUGUGACGAGGCGUGAGUGACGGUAAUGGGUAAAGAAGCACCGGCUAACUACGUG
rnacentral:rRNA from 1 species